GGGGAUUAGCUCAGCGGUAGAGCGCUUGCCUAGCAAGCACAAGGCCCUGGGUUCGGUCCCCAGCUCCG
rnacentral:tRNA from 1 species